AAGGAGAGGGGAGGAGAGGAGAGGAGAGAAAAAAAUAGAAAGAGAGAAAGAAAAGAUCCAAAUUGGAAAGAAAAAAGGAAAAUUGGGUGUACUUCCACAUAAUAUGAUCUUGUAUGUGGACAAUCCUAUAGAUUCCACGAAAAACCUCUUAAAAAGGAAUCCGGUAAAGUUUCCAGAUACAAAAUGAAUAUACAGAAAUCAGGUGUGUGUCUAUACACUAACAACAAAAUACCUGAAAAAGAAAUGAAGGGGGGGCCUGGCUAGCUCAGCUGCUAGAACAUGGAGGGUCGUGAGUUCAAGCCCCAUGUUGGUAGGUGUAGAGCUUACUUAAAACCAAAAAAAAAAAGAAAAAAAAAAGAAAUGAAGAAAAUGACAUUGGCACCAGAACCAAAAACAAAUAAAACACUUAGAAAUAAAUGUAACCAAGAUGAAUGAUCUCUACCUGGAAAACUAUAUGACUUUGAUGAAAAAAAAUUGAAGAGAACUAAUCAACAGAAAGAUAUCCCAUGCUUCUGGAUUGGAAGAAUAUUGUUAACAUGUCCACACUACCCAAAGCCAUCUGUAGAUUCAGUGCAAUCCCUACCAAAGUUCCAAUGGUGUUUUUCACAGAAAUAGAAAAAAAAACAUCCUAAAAGUCCUAUGGAACCACAAAACACCCCAAAUAGACAAAGCAGUGUUGGGAAAGAAGAACAGAACUAGAAGCCUCAUACAUGUCCUGAUUUUGAACUAUAUUACAAAGCUAUUAUAAUCAAAAUAGGAUGGUAACGCAUAAAAACAGACACAUAGACCACUGGAAAUAAAUUGAGAGCCCAGAAAUAAAUUCACACAUAUAUAGUCAACGACUAUAUGACAAGGGAGCCAAGAAUACCCAACUGAGAAAGGGUUGUGUCUUCAAUAGUGGUGGUGGGAAAGCAGGGUAAUUACGUACAAAAGAAUAAAAUUGGACCCCUAUCUAACACCAUUCAUAAAAAUUAACUCCAAAUGGACUGAAGACUUAAACCUAAGACCUGAAACUAUAGAACUCCCAGAAGAAACCAUAGGGGAAAAGCUCCUUGACAUUGGUCUCGGCAAUGAGUUUUGAAUCUGACUCCAGAAGCACAAACAACGAAAGCAGAAAUAAACAAGUGGGGCUAUUUCAAACUAAAAGUCUUCUGCACAGCAAAAGAAGCAAACAACAGGAUGAAAAGGCAACCUAUGCAAAGGGAGAAAAUACUUGGGAACCGUAUAUCUGAUAAGGAAUUAGUAUCCAAAAUACUUAAGAAGCUCACAAAAACUCAGUAGCGGAAAACCAAACAAUCUGACGAAAAAGUGGGCAAAAGACCUAAACAAACGUUUUCCCAAAAAAAGACAUGCAAAUGGCCAGAAGGUACAUUGAGAGACACCAAACAUCACUACUCGUUAGGGAAAUGGAAAUCAAGAUCAUAAUGGUGUCACCUCACGCCUGUUAGAAUGGCUGUUAUCAAAAAGACAGGAGUGAUGUGACUGGGUUAAGCAUCAGUUGCUUAAGUCGGUUGCUUAAGCGUCUGACUCUUGGUUUGGGCUCAGGUCAUGAUCUCGCCGUCGCGGGACGGAGUCCCACGAGGAACUCUGAGCUAAGCGUGGAGCCUGCUUAAGACCGUCUCUCUCUCCUCUCUGCCCCUCCCAAAUCACACUCACUCUGUCUCUAAAACAAAACACAACAACAACAAAAAGAAACAAAAACAAAAGCAAAAAAAAGCCCCAAAAAACCCAAAAGGCCAGAGAUAAGUGUGGGUGAGGAUGUGGAUAAAAAGGAACCCUUGUGUUUGUUGGUGGAAACAUCAAUGGGCAGAACUACUAUGGAAAACAGUUUGGACGUUCUUCUAAGAAUUAAAAAGAAAAGAGACUGCCCUAUGGUCCCAAAUCCCGCUUCUGAGUAUGUAUCCAAAGGGAAUGAAAUCAAGAUUUCCAUGAGGUGUCUGUACUCCUCUGUUCAUUACGGUAUUCUUCACAAGAACCCACAUAGAAAAACAACCUAUAAGUGCCUGUGGAUGAAUGGAAAAAGAAGCUGUGGUAUGUAUACCUUUCUGGGACUCUAACAUGCACACGUAGAAAUAACAGUGUAGCGACAAGAAAGAAGGAAAUCCUGCCAUUUUAGACAACACGGGUGGGCACUGAGUGCAUUCUUUUAAGCAAAAUACGUCUGAUGAGAAAAACAAACCCUGUGUGAUCUCCUUUACACGUACAGUCUAAAAGACCUGAACCCAUAGAGACAGACGGAAUGGUGGUUACCAGGAUCUGGGGGCUGGGAGAAAUGGGGAGAUGUUGGGCAAAGAAUGCAAACCUCCAGUUAUCAGAUGAACGAAUUCGGAGGGUCUUAUGCACAGCAUGGUGACUAGAGGUACUCAGAGUGGCUAUCAAAUGCCCCUCCGCUGCCGACAAAAGAGCAUUGGUAAUUAUGUGAGGUGAUGGGGAGAUGCUAACUAACCCUGCUGUGGUAAUUAUUUUGCAGUAUAUGUAUGUGUAUCAAAUCAUUGCCUCGCACGCCUUAAAGGUACACAUGUUACAUGUCAAUUGCCUCUCGGUGAAGGUAAGGGGGUGGGAAGUCUGUUCAACCUGAAGUAUUUUCGUUGUAUUAUUGCAAUAGUUAACAUCAAUCAAAGGCUGCACGAGUGCCAGGCACUGGACAGGGGGCUUUUCCAACACGGUUACAGUUUUUAAAAACUUAAAAAAAAAUGUUUAUUUGCUUUGAGAGAGAGAGAGAGAGAGAUGGAGAGAGUGAGCGAGGGAAGGGCAGAGAGAGGGGGGGUACAGAGGAUCUGAAGAAGGCUCCCUGUUGACAGCAGAGAGGCGGAUGCGGGGCUCGAACUCACAAACCCUGAGAUCGUGACCUGAGCUGCAGUCGGAUGCUCAACCGACUGAGCCAGCCAGGCGCCUCCCCGGCGUUGUUACAUUUUAACAGUAAAUUUUGUGAAUCGCAUUAGAGAACCAUCAAGGGAGCAGACGGCUUUGCCCAGAUAUAUUUCUGGAUUUGAGAUAUUUGAGAUCCUUCAGUGGGAACUUGCAUCAGACCUACGAGCAUCUGCCUGCUGUUUACAUAAUAUCUGUAUGUAAACAGUUUGUCCGUGGUGAAAAACGAUCGCUCUGAUAGCUUCCGUAUUUUUUAAAAAAAGAGACUCUCUCGAGACAAGGAAGCAGUUUGCCAGGCAAAACAGUCUUUCCAUCUGUCAUAGCUACUGAUUUCAAAGGGGACUUACGUUUUAAAUGCCCCAUAGCCACCCGUCUCCGUUAAGUAUCUCCUUUUGCAAAGUUGUUUCGGUCUUUGCUCCUUUGCGUCGUGUUCCAACGUGGUUGAGCUUCACUGCUGCGUGCGUUAUUAGGCGGACGUGGUCUUCAGCUACCUGCCUGGGACGAGUGCACAUCCCUUUCAGUAACGUGAGGACAGGGACGUGAGCGAUGCCCUUGAAAUAGGGCAGAAAUCACAUGCCAGGAGAAAGCGGUGCUGUGUCUGAUGGGCCACUAAUGUGGUGAACUGGUGAACUAACCAGGGUGAGGAUGGUGAUGACCAUAAUCACGAUGAUGGUGGAGGUGGUCGUGCUACGGCCAACGUGUAUGGAGUGUGCCAGAAACAUGGAUAAUUGGUUUGUUUCACUAUUUUAUUUAAUCCUAACAGCAACCAAGUGAACGUGGUCCGAAUAUAGGCACUUACGGAGGAUAAAACUGAGACUUCGCAUUUGUAUCCACGUGCUCUUUAAUUUUUUAGCAUUCACAUUUUUUAAAAUAUUUAUUUAUUUUUGAGAGAGAGAGAGAGAGAGAGAGAGAGAGAGCACAAGCAGGGGAGGGGCAGAGAGAGAGGGAGACACAGAAUCCGAAGCAGGCUCCAGGCUCCGAGCCGUCAGCACAGAGCCCAACAUGGGGCUCGAGCCCACCAACCGUGAGAUCAUGAGCUGAGCCGAAGUUGGAUGCUCAACUGACUGAGCCACCCAGGCGCCCCUAUAUCACGCCGUCAGUUACCAGACAAACUGGGAUUUAAACCCAGUUCACUCCGAAUCCAGAUCUUUGGUUCUCAGCUUCUGAAUGGAACCCCUUCGGGCCACCUGGGUGGCUCAGCAGGUUGAGCAUCCAACUCUUGAUUUUGGCUCAGGUCAUGAUCUCAUGGCUUACGAGUUUGAGCCCCACGUCAGGCUCUGCGCUGACAACUCAGAGCCUGCUUGGGAUUCUCUGUCUGCCUCUGCCUCUGCCCCUCCCCCACUCUCUCUCUCUCUUUCACUCUCUCUCUUGAAAAUAAAUAAAUAAACAUUAAGAAAACAAAACAAACCCAGAGCUCACUAUUAAAAAAAAUAAUAAUAAAUGGAACUCAUUUAAGACUUUGGUACCAGGAUUCCUUUCUAAGAGAUGAGGUAAGUCUGCGACCCUAUCUUUAAUUCUAUCACAAUUUAAAUGGAGUUCUGGUUGAUUACCAAUCACUAAAUAGGAAAUUCUCUCAACAUGAAGCCAUUGGGAGAAAGUGAAGUUACAUGAAUGUCACAAGUGUUUCGCAGGCGAGCGUUCAGUGUGUGUGUGGGCAGGCAGCGUGAGGCAGAGGAAAGGACCUGGGUGUGAGGUUGACCUUGGGGGGAUUUGGCCCCACCUGGCCAGCUGUGUGAUCUCGGCCAGUCACUUACCCUCUCUGAGCCUCAGUUUCCUUCCCUAUAAGAUGGGGCUAAAAAUACCCACCUGAAAGGAACGCUGAAAUCUUUGGAGAUCAUAAACUACAAAUCUGCACCGCGCCCGGCAAAUAUAGCCCGGUGACAUUAGUCCUGCUCCAUAAAAGGCAAGAAGUGAUUUCAUUUUACUUUCCUGCUUACAAACCAUCAGUUCCAGUCAAGCUUUUGGGACAAAGCUCUAACUCCUUACCUCAGCCUAAAGGCCUUUGAGCCCCGCUAUGUAACCAGCCUCCUCUUUAGACAUUCUCCCUCUCACCCGGCUCAGAUGGGCCAAGCAUUAGUUUUGCACCCCAGGAUCUUUGAACAUGCUGUGUCCUUGGCUGAAAAUACUCUUUCAUCACUUUAUUAACUUACUACCCCCUUGUGCUUUAAGUCUAAGCUCAACUAUCCCUUCCCCAGGGAAAUCGUCCCUGAAGCCUAGAAAACAUCAGUCCCCUCCUUAUCUACCCCCGGUGCUCCUUCUUCUUUGGGGUACCGCUCACAGUGGUAAGUACUUCAUUCAUCAUGAAUCCGUCUUGUCACUAGGAUGUGACCUCCAGGAGGGCAGGGGCGGCAUCGACCCCGUGUUAGUGUCCAAAUCCCAGUUCCUGGCAUGGGGCCUCAUUCACAGCAGGUGCUCGACAAGCUUUCACUGAAUGAAUGAAAAAAAAAGAAUAGGGGCACCUGGGUGGCUCAGUCGGUUAAGCGUCCGGCUUCCGUUCAGGUCAUGAUCUCAGGGUUCGUGGGUUCGAGCCCUGCAUCGGGCUCUGUGCUGACAGCUCAGAGCCUGGAGCCUGCUUCCGAUUCUGUGUCUCUGUCUCUCUCUGGCCCUCCCCCUCACUCUCAUGGUCUCUCUGUCUCUCUCUAUGAAAUAAAUAAACAUUAAAAAAAGAAGAAGAAGAAAUGAGUGGAUGAAUAAAGGAUUACCUUAUUUUAAAGAUUCCCCUUGAUGUUUCCUGACCCGCUUUUAUUAAAAGAAGACCGCAGGGUGUAAGCCGCGGAGACUUCUAGCAAAGGCACAGGUUUUUGCCCAGAGUGGUGGGCUUUUCACUCUUGAGGAGGACAAGCCUUCCCUGGGGACCGUGUGUUACCUGUGGCGCGACAGGCACCUCGUGUCCCCAGCAAGCUUCAUUCGGUCUGGCCGGAGCGAUACACCGGAUGAAAGAAACCUACCAUGUCUCUGACACCGAUGCUCCGUUUUAUGAUGGGAGCAGCCGAGCUGGGGCCGGCAGGUGCGGGCUGGCCUGACCUGGGCUCUGUGGAGAAUCAUCAGAGCCUCCUUAGAGAUGCGGAUUUACUCUGUUUAAUCAGCCACAGGCAGAAGAAGUGGCUUCAUUUCAGCUCGACAAGAGCCACAUCACAAAAGGAAGAUGGAUGGUCAAGACUAUUGGUUCAUCACUACAAGCAUAUUGUCUUAAUUUGAAGGAACAGCCUGGCACCCGGGCUAAUCGAGGAGGACAGUGCAAUAUGGCUAGUGCAGAGGGCCAGCUAAGCUUAACUCUCAGCGCGCCCCUUAAGGAGAAGCUCUUAUGUGUUUUCUUAAUUAAUAUUUUAAGGGAAGUGAGAACCAUAAAACGCAUCCCUCCGUCACUUAAGAAAUUCCCCCGCUUGGAAUUCAAGAUGCUUAAGGAACGACUUUUUCCUUCCCUGAAAUGCCUGAAUCUCCCUCCCUAUAAGGAAACACUGCAGGGGCGCCUGGGCGGCUCAGUCAGUUAAGCAUCCUUGAUUUCGGCUCAGGUCAUGAUCUCAUAGUUCAUGAGUUCGAGCCGCGUCGGGCUCUGCGCUGACAGUGGGGAACCUGCUUGGGAUUCUCUCUCCCUCCCUCUCUGCCCCUCCCUGGCUCUCUCUCUCUCUCUCUCUCUCUCUCUCUCUUUCAAAAUAAACAAAUAAAAACUUAAACGCUCGCCUAAGAAAUGCCAGAGAAGGGAUUUUUACGCCUGUGUGGGAGGAAUCACACAUAAUCUGAACUCUGUGUCCUUGCCGAACCCCUCCUAUGUGAAGCAAAAGCAGAUAGCGCGUAGCUGGGGCCCUUACAAACAAGUGGAUGUUUUAGAAUCAUUUGGUAUGUGUCACAUCCGUGUUUUCAUUCCAUCCCCUGAGCCUGAGCACAAAGAGCUUUUACAGCCCUCCCCGCCCUGAUGACUCUUUUCCAGAUGUUCUGAAACAACAUCAACUGACCCAGUUUACCCCUGAGAGGUUUAUAAAGGUGCAUUUAUGGAGCGCCUGGCUGAGCGAGGCUGAGAUGCUAAGUACUCCCAAAGUGAAGAAGAAACUUAAGAGGCUUAGCGAUGGAUGUAGAAAUAUUAUCAUCAAUCAUCAGCCAUCAGGGUGAUAGCAUCCAGUCCUCUCUCACCUACAGGCACAGAUUUCGGCGUCGGGAAGUGAAGACUGCACCGUCGAAAUGCGCGGUCUUGGCACAUUUAAAUGUGGGCAUGAUGAGGCCCACAGGUUUUAUGUUAGCAUAAAACCUGAACACGUGUCACUUGCUUUCCAUGCUGCACAGGAUGGAAAGGGGGUCACACUUGCAGAAGUGAGAAAGGGGCACGCCAGGGUUUUGUACAACAGACCUUUGUGCAGAAGCCGGACCGCCGGCACAAGAGAAGUCAUCAUGUGUGGGCGGGAGGUUGUUUCAUUCCUAGGACACGGGCAGCAGCCUCCAGAGCAGUCCUUGGGAUCAGAACCCAGCUCUUCGCCUACGUACCGGAGGCGAGCCAUUUCUCAGGGAGAAACAACCCGCUGUCUUACGUGCGGUUGUACGAAAAGUGCCACCAAUUCCCUCCAAACGCGGGCAUCGGGCACCGCGUCAGAAUCUGGCAAGAAGGCGGGGGAGUUCUUCCCCAGCACAUCUGCCACGUGUGUGUAGACGGCACUCGGUGGGAAUGGGCCCCCUCCCCAACCGCCAAGGCAAGCGACAUGCCAAGGCCUUGAUGCGCAAGGUACUUAAUGUUCCAUGGGACGUCAAUCCCCUAUUGGCUGCCGGCGUAGAAUGAAAAACCUUCCUGGCCUGACUUCUGUUAUCACUGGCACCGGACGGGUGCAGGCAUCUCGUUGAGGUACUUUGCAUGUGAGAGGGAGGGUGGGCUCGUGUAGGAGGCUCUUACUCCCUGCAGAUCGCGAAAUGCCUGCUGUUCAGCAUCCGUUCGCCCUGUGAGACCCGAGACCCGCCACCAACUAACAGGUGAUGGUCCUUUCGCUGAGUUCAGAAAUGGAUGCCCCUUCAUCUGUGGAAAAGCUGGGGAGUCCCGGCCAGCGCCGGACCGCUUGUCUAGCACAAACCCUGGGGAAGAAGCGUUUGUUCCGACUUUGGUGUGGACGUGGGCAUCCGCUCGGCAGAGGAUAAACCACACUCUGCUUUGGACAUUUGUGGCGUGGGACACUAAAGACCGAUCGUUUUGGGGGUCCGUUGGCAUUGCUGGUGUUUUUUGAUUUCGGCAACAGAUCUGCUCAUAGUUGGAAACAUCAGUUACGUUACCCUUAUCUUAACAUCCUUCAGCGUCGGUGUUGUUACUGGUCAUCCAAUUAGCUGCUUCCUCCGAUUUCAGGUCCACUGACAGCUCGGGGUGGUUUGACUUGAGUGGGGUGGACAAAGGGGAAAUUGGCGAUUUCCUCUGCCUCCUGCAGAGUUAAUCUCUCGUCCAGAUACUGCUAAAACAUCUCUUUCAACAGCAGUCUUUCUUCCUAGUUUAGCAGCAUAAACGUACAGAACAAGUUUCUUCUUUACAAUGCUCUAACUCAAAGUCCCAAUGAUAGAUGAUUUCCUGAUCCUGAAGAAGACACUUAAACCCUUAUGCUUCUUUCAACAAUUUAUUCCAGUUUGAACAGGACAGUCUAUUUCCCAUUUUAGCAUGGAGCAGUCAGGUUAUGUGUGUGCAAACAAAAUUGUCUGGCACCUCUACAAGCGUGGGGUGAAAAAAAGGACCCGGAAAGUACGUUGCCAGCCAGAACUAUUACUUUCUUGUGUCCACUAUUCGAUACUUGGGCAUUUUUCUCUGCUCUUGUUUUUACUUUUUAAUUUUUUUUAACGUUUAUUUUUUUAUGUUAAUAUUUUUAAUUUUUUAAAAAUGUUUAUUUGUUUUUGAGACAGAGAGAGACAGAGCAUGAGCAGGGGAGGGGCAGAGAGAGAGAGAGAGAGACAGGAAGACAUAGAAUCUGAAGCAGGCUCCAGGCUCUGAGCUCUCAGCACAGAGCCCGACACAGGGCUUGAACUCCCGGACUACAAGAUCAUGACCUGAGCUGGAGUCAGAUGCUUAACCGACUGAGCCACCCAGGCGCCCCACGUUUAUUUUUGACAGAGAGAGAGAGAGAGAGAGAGAGCAUGAGUGGGGAAGGGGCAGAGAGAGAGUGAGACAGAGGAUCCAAAGUGGGCUCUGUACUGACAGCCGAGAGCCUGAUGCGGGGCUCAAGCUCACAAACCGUGAGAUCAUGACCUGAGCCAAAGUUGGAUGCUUAACCAACUGAUCCACCCAAGAGCCCUUCAUUUCCUCUGUUCUUAAAAGCCCUGUCUGGGUCUGCGGGGACAACAAACUUUCUUACCAUGGAUCCUGGGAUAUUUUCUUAGUCUCUUUACCCUAGUGGCCCAAAUAAAGGCCACUUGUAGUUUUAAUCUUUGCAUUGUUUUGUUAUGCAUCAACCCCUCCCUUCCCGGACACCCCCACCCUGUGUGCCCACCGAAGAGCCAUUUGGGUUGCUCACGUGGUCAAGCUGACCCAAAUCCAUUCCAACAAAUGUUUUACUUUCGCCUAGUAGAACAUUUGUUAUGAGGAACGUGUUCUGUCCUGCCUGCUACAUCUGAACUGCUAAAAUGUCACUUCCCUGGCAAUUAUUUCCAUGAGGAAACGUUUGCAGCCAUCUUCAAAAAGGGGUCCCCCUUCCUUACUCCAACAAAACACACAGGAAGUUAGCACAUGCGUUUCUAAAAUCCUUUUUUACUGGAGUGCCUGGGUGGUUUGGUCGGUUAAACGACUCCUGAUUUGGGCUCAAGUCAUGAUCUCACGGCGUGUGAGUUCGAGCCCCGUGUCAGGCUCUGAGCUGCAGAGUCAGCUUGGGAUUCUUUCUCUCUCUCUCUCCCUUUCUGCCCCUCCCCUAGCUCAUGCUCUCUCUGCCUCUCUCAAAAUACAUAGGUAAACUUAAAAAAACGUCCUUUUUCCUUCAUAAAAGUCAUCUCUAUUCGUCCUUCCUGAUCAGCAGGGAGAGGUAUAGAUGCCCACACUCUCUUAUAUAAUUUGCGUUAUAUAAUUUGCUGUAUGCACUUGGCCCGCACAGGCUCAAAGGGCUAUAAUGCAUUUGAGCGUAGGAGUGAUUUUAACAAUCUCGAGACAAGUUUUCCAACUGGCAGGUCUUUGGGGGAAGCUGAGAGCUACCCUUUCCAUGGGUGCCUGUCAAGGGAGCAGCGAGAAUCAGAAGCAAACGCUCUCACGUUCACAGGAUGCACUGACCGUCCAACUGUCCAGAAUCGUCCCCAGUAAGGAACCCUCCCAAAGGCUGAGCCACGUGAAGUCUAAAGAGGAAUCACCGUCAUUCGGAAAACUCGGAUCAGCUUCCUUCUGUGUUGCCUGAACAUCGGUGUCAUCUGGGUAAAGUGUUUUGAGGAAAAUUUAUGCCUCCUCACAAAGAAACAGCUGUGCAUCGCCACAGUCACUAACUUUUGAAAGAUGUUACAGGAAGGUGUUCAUUUCAAGUCAGUUGCUUCAGCUAUAGCUUUCCCUUCAUGUUUUAAUAUCAUGGCGUCUCCUUCUGGUCCCCUAAGUGUUACCUGGUUUCUCUGGAGGAGUGGGGGAACCCAGGACCCAUAAGUUAUGGCUCCUAUUAAGAGGGUUGGCUGGACGGGCGGACAAUGUGUCAAUAAUUAUUUCUGGCGGGGUCUUAACAGCAGAGGAAGUGCCUCUGUAGAGUGGCUUAUAUUAACAGAAGACAGAUAUGCCUGACCCGGGUUUUAUGACAGAUGUCAAAUAUAUCGAAGUGUGUCGUGAAGCAGAUCGUCUUAUUGGCAAAGACAUGAAAGACCACCAGGAAGAUGGAUGGGAAGCUUUCCUCAAGGGGUUUCCCGUCUCCUCGCGCAGGUGGGUGGACCCAGCACCGGGUGUUGGGCUUGGUGGAAGCUGAAUCUCACUUCACACAGUGCUGGGCACAACGUGCAUCCUGGCGAUACCACGAAGAACAAGCUUAAGAAAGCCGAUCUUGUGCGUUGGCUAGGUUUUACCCGUCAUCACCUGGGCUUUUCACCACCACUGCCUACAAACAAGAGAUUCUGUCAGAGGGGAAGUGGGAGCCGACUGGUUUCAUUCUUUGUCAUCCUCUGAGCCGGCUGCCAAGGUGGUUAAAGGCUUUCUCUACGGAACAGAAAAGGCAAACCUCCCUCGAAGGGAAAAGCAGGAUCUUGUCUCAUGUAAGAGACAGGAACAGGGCCCACUGCAUCCUCGAAAAGGAUUCGAUGCAACUCUUUGGAAAUAAGCUUCCUCAGAGCCAAGGAGAGCUAGACUGUUUCUCAGUGGAUUGUGUCCUGCAGUGAGUAGUAAGGAAGCUGCCAUUCCUCUUGGGAUACCUCAUUGGGUACCAUAUACUUCCGGGCGAGGACGUGGACUCCUGGGGCGUCCAACAUUGUGCCUUGUGCACACACGUGCCUUCCACUGAUGAGUUGUAUCUGGGGCUGACAAGUAUAUGGCUUCCUCUUUUGGAGACGACCAUCCCCUCCCAGGGAGGUGCUGAUGAGGUUGGGGGUGGGGAGGAAUAAGCCUACCGCUAGGUCGAUUAGAUGACCAAAUCUAGCCUCUUGAGUUAGAGCGGGGCCUUUGGUACCUCUCCCGGGGGAGAUAACAGCCCUUUAUCUCAGCUGUCACCCCCUACAGCUGCAUGUUCUUUCAAGUCGAUUUGACCGGUCAUGAGAAAUUUUGUAACAAAUAUGCAUUGACACCUGCCAUCUCUAAGGUACUGAAUGAGAAUACGACGAAAUGGACCUGCAAUCAACAUUGGGUGAGUUGCUGCCAUACGCUACGUACUCCAGAUGCAAAUAUAAAAGGGCCUAAUAACCUCGUUGGGAAGGGGAGCCUGUGAACAAAUGCGUGCAAUGUCAGAACGAUGGCCCACAGCGGAGCAGCAUGGAGGAGUGGAUUGAGGAGAGCUUGAGAGCACUGCUAACGUUUGAGCUGGGUCUUGAAGCUGUUAGGAAAAGUUCUUCAGAUCGAAACAUCGGGGAACAUACCUUCUGUUCUGAAGGGGCUUCGUGUUUAACUCGACAAAAUGAGUAUGUGAUCGCCUCGGAAGGAGCCAAGAGCAUGGCUAAUUGGUAACUGGUUGAGGAAGGUGGUGAAUCCUGCGGCUGAGCUGGCAUGGCAGUGAAUGUAUCUGGUAGGAUGGCAUUUUCUCAAGCUAUCCUUCGAAGAACACUGGUUCCUUGAGGUGGUACUUGGUAUUGUUUGAGAAAACAGGGGGUUUUGAGGCCAAAUACAAGGUAGGGAAGGCGGGGUUAGGCUGUUGGAUGGGGUUCUUUCCUGCAGGACUUCUUAGGGCCUUUAAUAUAUGACUCUGCCUUAUACAUUUCCAAGAGCUUGUCUUUUUUUUUUUUUUAACUUUUUAACAUUUAUUUAUUAUUGAGAGACAGAGGGAGACGGGGCAUGAGCAGGGGAGGGGCAGAGAGGGGAAGAGAGGGAGGGGGACACAGAAUCCGAAGCAGGCUCCAGGCUCUGAGCUGUCAGCACAGAGCCCAACGCGGGGUUUGAACCCGUGAACCUCGAGAACAUGACCGGAGCUGAAGUUGGACGCUGAACCGACCGAGCCACCCAGUUGCCCCUCCAAGAGCUUGUCUUAAACCUAUUUGUCUUUCCCUAUUCACAGUGUUUUCAGAGUACCACGGAUCUCACGGUGGCAAAUACUUCUUUAAGGUAGGAACAGCUGUCAGCUGUCUUUACGAAGCGAACAGUUUCUGGGGCACCUGGGUGGCUCAGUUGGUUGAGCGUCUGACUUCGGUUCAGGUCACGAUCUCGCGGUUCGUGAGUUUUGAGUCCUGUGCCGACAGCUCAGAGCCUUGGAGCCUGCUUCCGGUUCUGUGUCUCCCUCUCUCUCUGCCCCUCCCCCCCACUCCGAUCCCUCUCAAAAUAAAGAAACGUUAAAAAAAAUUGAAAAAAGAAGUGAAUAGUUUCUAUUUGAGAAACUGUGGGCACCUGUGAGGAAGAAUACCAAUAGUGAGAGACUGGGUGCAAGGUGGCCUGUAACCAAGUUGUUAAAAAUCUUCUGGGCAGAAGAACAUAAGGGUCAGAAUCAAGGCACUGAAGACGUAAAGGAGGGAAUGAAACCGAAAGACAAUUAGCGGGUAGAAUGACAAAAAAAAAGUACUUGAGGGUUACUCCCUGGGGUCUAGUUGGGAAGCUCGGGCGAAGAGAGAUUUUGAGUAGAAGGUGAAAAAGUUGAUUCAUUUUGGGCUGUGAUAUAAUUGUGGUGUCUAUGAGACCAACAGCGUUGAUCAACUCAUUCAAUAGUUGGAGAAACUAAUCUGUAGCUCAAGAUACACGUGGACAUAACUUUACCUUUCUGUGAUGCUUCAGAUGACUCUAGCCAUGUCUUAGGGGUCACCGUAAUUAACAUUAAGUGUUGCUUGACCGUAAAUGUAUAGAGUUGCAGGUUGUAGAGAGCUGUGUUUAAUAGAAAGCUGAAAACAAGCCAUUAACUAGAUUUACUAAUAGGUGCCUUGCCCAGGAACAGUGCAUCGGGGAAAAGAAAAACAAGCAAGCAAACAAAAAAAAACAUAUAAAUUAAUAUGUCCAGAAAAAAAAAAGAAAAAGGAAGAUACAACCCUUGUUCAAGGAACUUAUUAUCUUCAGCCUAUAGAAGAUAUGACAGGUGGCCAGAUUACCUGUGUUAGGAUCAUGGACCUUGCGCUUGCUAUAUGACCUUGGGCAAGUUAGGUAACUUUUUAAAGCUUGGAUUUGCUCCCUUGCCAAAUCAUCUUUGCAGAAUAUUAGUAUCCUCCUCAUUAAGGAGUUGUAAGGAUUAGCUACGGCGAAACAAAAAUUGAUUUCCUGUAUUUUGAUGGUGUACAAUAAAUUUCUUUAGGAAAUAA